GCUCUCAAAUUUUCUGAAAUCCCCACCCCAAGUCCCUUCGGCCCCUUCCACCACGCGCAUUGCCCUAGAUUUUUCUUUUCUCCCCCACGCCGCCGCCACUCUCCACCUCCGCCCCCCACGCCGCCGGUCAUCUCCACCGUCGCCCCCACACGCGGCCUACUUCUACCACGGGCCACCGUGGCACCACAUGUGCUCGACCGUCGCCGCCCCCAUCGUUCCUCUCCACCGCAGUCCGCGUCCUGCCUGUCACCGCUGCUACUCUUCCUCCCCGCCGCCACAAGAGUUGGAUCACCACCCCGCCCUUUCCCCUCGUUGAGGUGGUAGUUCGCCAUCCCAAUUCCCUCAGGAGAUUGCUAAUGAAGCCAUUUUAUGUUUCUCGGUGUCAUCUUGACAGAAAUUGAGCAGAUAAUGAAAACAAGUGAUGAGGCAACAACGCGGGCAUCUUCUUUGUGAGACCAUCUACUACCUCCAUGUGUUUCUGGUUAUGUUAUUGUUGUAGCAAGAGUUACUAUGGAAUCACUAGUGAUUAAGUGAUGAUUUUUGCAGGAGUUAAUAUGAUACAGAACAAUACUUGAGUAUAUAUUGUUAAUUCAGAGAGAGUAGUUCUAGCAAUGUUUGAUUCAUGAGUGAUGCUUGAAAUUUCAGAUUUACUAUGGUACAACACAGUAUUUAAUUUAGUAGCAGGUGCACUUAAUUAAGUUUCAGUUCCAGUUCCAGUAUUUUUGUUAAUUUACUUAUCUGAGAAUAGUAGGAUGCUGAAAAUUCUGUUUUUAAUAGGCUUUUUGUCAGCUCAUUGGGCAACCCUUAUUAAAAAUUGGAGAUCUACGGAAUCCAAAUUUUGUAGAUCCAACAGACUAGGAUCUAUCGAGACAUGUUUGCCUUUUGUAGGAAGGAAAUACACAAGAGAACAUAGUAGCCGGUGGUUGACAUCAAGAUUGCACAAUGGAGGAUUGAUGUUGGAGAUGAACCUUUUAGCUAUCAUUUUGUAAAACCGGAUCAGUAUGAACUUAUAGUCCCUAGUUUUUUCUCUAUCUUGGUAGUAGUGAACUUAGAUGAUGUUUCAUGCACAGUUUGUAAAUGCGAUGAAUUAAUGUACCAUAUUAUCAGUUGAUUAAUAAUAUGCAUGUUGUUAA